rnacentral:rRNA from 1 species
UACGUAGGGUGCAAGCGUUGUCCGGAAUUAUUGGGCGUAAAGAGCUCGUAGGCGGCCUGUCGCGUCGGCUGUGAAAACCCGGGGCUCAACCCCGGGCCUGCAGUCGAUACGGGCAGGCUAGAGUUCGGCAGGGGAGACUGGAAUUCCUGGUGUAGCGGUGAAAUGCGCAGAUAUCAGGAGGAACACCGGUGGCGAAGGCGGGUCUCUGGGCAGUAACUGACGCUGAGGAGCGAAAGCGUGGGGAGCGAACAGG